rnacentral:tRNA from 1 species
GGUAAAAUGGCUGAGUAUAAGCAAUAAAUUGUAAAUUUAUUAACAGAAAUUAAUUCUUUUUAUCA